GGAGUGGACAGCGGCGCAAUGGUGAGUAACGCGUGAGUAAUCUUCCCUAAAGUUUGGAAUAGCCCGAGGAGGGUCGGAUUAAUACCAGAUACGGCUUUUCAUCGCCUGGUGAAUUUGCCAAAGAUUUAUUGCUUUUGGAUGUACUCGCGUACCAUCAGCUUGUUGGUAAGGUAACGGCUUACCAAUGCGACGACGGAUAGCUGGUCUGAGAGGAUGAUCAGCCACACUGGGACUGAGACACUGCCCAGACUCCUACGGGAGGCUGCAGUCGAGAAUCUUCCGCAAUGGACGCAAGUCUGACGGAGCGAUGCUGCGUGCCGGAUGAAGGUCUUCGGAUCGUAAACGGCUGUCACUCGGGACGAAUUUUGACGGUACCGAGAGAGGAAGCCACGGCUAACUACGUGCCAGCAGCCGCGGUAAUACGUAUGUGGCGAGCGUUAUUCGGCUUUAUUGGGCGUAAAGGGUCCGUAGGGGGUUGUGCAUGUCUGAUGUGAAAUCCCACGGCUCAACCGUGGAACUGCAUUGGAAACUGCAUGACUAGAGUAUCGGAGAGGUAAGUGGAAUUCCUGGUGUAGCGGUGGAAUGCGUAGAUAUCAGGAGGAACACCGACGGCGAAGGCAGCUUACUGGACGAUAACUGACCCUGAGGGACGAAAGCUAAGGUAGCAAACAGGAUUAGAUACCCUGGUAGUCUUAGCUGUAAACGUUGUGCACUAGGUGUAGGCGG
rnacentral:rRNA from 1 species